rnacentral:lncRNA from 1 species
AAACUGAUUAGACUGAAGGAUACAAAGUAUUGAGCCUGGGUGUGUCUGUGAGGGUGUUUCCAAAGGAGAUUAACAUUUGAGUCAGUGGGCUGGGAAAGGCAGACUCACCCUUAAUCUGGGUGGGCACAAUCUAAUCAGCUGCCAGUGUGGCUGAAAUAUAAGGAGGCAGAAAAAUAUGAAAAGACAGACUGGUCGAGCCUCCCAGCCUACAUUUUUCUCCCAUGCUGGAUGCUUCCUGCCCUUGAACAUUGGACUCCAAGUUUUUCAGUUUUGUAACUUGGACUGGCUCUCCUUGCUCCUCAGCCUGCAGAUGGCCUAUUGUGGAACCUUGUGAUCAUUGUUCCAAGCUUCACAUCAAUUCCUGACAAGGGUGACAGCCAGAGGGCAGACAGUCACAGACCAUGCUUGGAUGUCUGGAUGGAGGAUGAUGCCACACACUGAGACAGGAAAGAAAAACAUGUUUUGAGGAGACGAUGAAUUCAGCUGUGUAUCAACAUGCAUUCUGAGGAACAGCAUAUGGAGAUAUCCAAUGAGCAACUCCAUUUGGAGGGCCAAUGGUUAGGAGAGCAAAUAGAGCUAGAUUUAGGAAUUAUCACCUCUAGGUGAUAAUUUUUAAUCAAUUCCCAGGCAGACAUACUAAGUAACAAAAGCCAUGAGUAGGAUAGUAGGCAAAACCAACAUUUAGAAGACAAACUGUGAACACAGCAAAAAGAUUCAAAUACAAAGAAUGUAAAUAACUAAGACAGAAGAAUUAGGAAAGGCAAGAGGCAUAGAAGUCACAGGAAGAGUUUCAAGAAGGAAGAAGAAAUAAGCAGGUAACACUAAAAUAAGUAAUGCAACGACAUCCUUGGAAUUGACAGAAUUGCUAGCAAAUUGGAAUUGCUAGCAAAUCAUGCAAAGUCAAUUUUACAAAUACAGGUGGAACCCAUUUUGCAGUGGGCAGAGGAAGAAAUACCAGCUGAAAAUAUGAUAAGUAUGAUUUCUAAUGUAGAACUGUCUUUAAAUAAUCUAAGUAUUCUGUAAAGAUGAAAAACUCUACAAUUGUUAAACGGUGAAGAAGUCCAUUAUCACAUAUAUAAAAAAACUUCCAAAAUUUUUUUCAUACCUGAUAAGUAGCUAAGAAAAGCUCAAUAUUUUUAGUCCUCAAAGACUUACAACAGAAAUAAUUACAUUUUAUGAGGUAUCAAAACAUAAAAAAUGUGUUGGUCUUUGUUCCAACAAUUCCUGUGUGCAUCUUUAUGAAGUUUGAUGAAGAAGCUAACAGCUUAGGAUUGUUUAAAAACAAGUGAUAUUCUGGGUCAAAUGAUACUUAAAUUAUAUCACAUGAAACUUAAUGAAACUUAAUGGCAUACAAAUAAAAAUAUGCUAAGGCUUGGAUAUAGUUUAUUUGUCCUCACCAAAUCUCAUGGUGACAUUUUAUCCCCACUAUGGCUGUUAGGAGAUGGGGCCUACUGGGAGGUGUUUGGGUCACGUAGACAGGUCCCUCAUGAACGGCUUGGUGUCCUUCUUGUAGCAGGAGUGAGUUCUUGCUCUCCUGAGGCUGGACUGGUUCUCAAGGGAACUGAUUAGUUCAGACAAGAGUGGGUUGUCAGAACGCCAGGACAUCCCUUGAAUUUGGUCCCCCUUUACACAUCCCCACUCCCCAUUUGACCUCUUUUGCAUUGUUUGGAUGGAGCACAAAACUCCUCCCCAGAAUUCCAGCAGAUGCUAGAGCCAUGCUUCUGGUACAGCCUACAGAACUGCGAUCUAAAUAAAGCUUUUUUCUUUGUAAACUAUCCAGCCUCAGGUAUUCCUUUAGUGUAACACAAAACAGACUAAGAAAAUAUAUUAGAAUAGCUUUGUCAAAAUUUGUCAUCCAUUGAAGAUUUUCUGGCAAUGUGGAAAUUCUAGCUUAGGCAACAUAUGGAGGUGUAUUUGGAAAGCCUGGGGCAAUAUUUACCUUCCCUGAAUUUAACAGUACAUCCAACACUUACAAAAAUUUCACCAAUACUUUGAGCAUUUGAGUAGGAAGCCUCAUUAUUGGGAUAAUACAGAAGCUGAGCAAUGUGAACUCACCUAAUAGAAACAAUUAUAUAAUCUCAAUAUUAUCAUUAUUAAACCUGAAUAUACAUCCAGUCAUUAAAUUCCAUAAUUUAAAUUAACACCUCCACUGAGAAGGUAUCCUAAUAUUUUUCAAACACAAAGUAUUCCUAAACCACAUAAAAAGCCAGUGAUACAGCUCAUGACCACUCCUGAGUUGUGAUUAAUUUUUGUCACCAACUCCAGACGACAAAAAAGAUAGGGUACUGACUUUAAUUUCUCUUAUACUGAAAAUUGAGAUAAGAGAAUGUGAAAGACAGAGCAACAUUUACAAUUUAAGUACAAAGACUGGUACACACUUACACAUAUGCACGUAUAUUUGGGCAUGGGAAUCGGAGGCUGGAAAAACUACUGCUUUUGCAGGCUCUUUCUAAGAGAAAGCCCCAUGGUUAAGUAGGUCUAAUAACCCAAAUGGGUUUGAACCAAGCAGGGAAGAUAUUAAAAUGGGAUGAUGCUGAAUUAUUAUCAACUUAUCAGAAAAUGUUUAAUAGAUCAAGAAAUAGUAUGACGUGAGCAUCACAAAGGAAUGCAAUUCUGAGGAUGAAAAGUAUUUUCUAAGAAAAACCAAAAAGCCCCCACACACAUUAUCACAUUAUUAGGUACAAAUCUACUUUUACCUCUCCUAAAUCUCCAGUCCUCCCCUUGUUCAUCCUGAUAGUUUGACUGUUGCUUGGAAAUCUGAGAUACUUGAUGCUGUAAACCCUUUCGAUCACCUUCUGCUUUCGUAAGUUGUGUACGCAGUUCUUCUACCUAACACAUGGUCAAAAAUCAAACAUCGGUUUUCACAAUCAGAGAAAGACCUACUUCAAAUGGGCUAUUGUAAACACAAGUUGAAUCCAGGUUAAUCUCCUUCCAAGCAUAGUGGAACGGUUUCCUGCUCCAUUUCCUCAUUCCUCUCAUCUCUUCCACAAAGAAUAAAUGAAUGGCUUUUCCUUCUCUGUGUCCACUGAGGCAAAGAAUGGAAUGUGACUAGAUUUUUUUUUUCAUCACUUAUUUUGUCCUCAGUCUACUCCAUUACUAUUAACCCAAAUCAACUUCAAUUAAGUAUUAUACUUCUUAUAUUUUUCAAUUUU